GAAAUGCGAUAAGUAAUGUGAAUUGCAGAAUUCAGUGAAUCAUCGAAUCUUUGAACGCACAUUGCGCCCGGCAGUAAUCUGCCGGGCAUGCCUGUCCGAGCGUCAUUUCUGCCCUCGAGCGCGGUUCCGCCCUAGCCGGCGGGCCGCUGCCUCGGUGUUGGGGCGCCACGGGGGAGCCCUAGCGGCUCCCCCGCGGGCCCCGAAAUGAAGUGGCGGCCACGCCGCGGCGCCCCCUGCGUAGUAGUCUAACAGCUCGCAUCGGGUCCCGGCGGAGGCCUGCCGUCAAGCCCUCAACUCAGAUGGUUUGACCUCGGAUCAGGUAGGGUUACCCGCUGAACUUAA
rnacentral:misc_RNA from 1 species